rnacentral:lncRNA from 1 species
GAACGCCCGUACGGGAGGGAUCCCAUCAGGGCAAGCGCACCUUGGGUUGCCUUGGGCUGCCUUGGGCUCGGAAGGUCAGCUAGGGCACCUCCUCAUGCCAUGGAGAUAGGAGAAGAAUAACACAUGGGGUUGGAAAAGUAGGAUGAAGAGGGAAAAAAGGUAAAAGUAAAAGGUAGAUUGGUUUUUUAAUUGAUUGGAUACCGUACCCUCAAUCCGCCGUGGCCCUU